rnacentral:rRNA from 1 species
CCUACGGGUGGCUGCAGUGGGGAAUAUUGGACAAUGGGCGAAAGCCUGAUCCAGCCAUGCCGCGUGUGUGAAGAAGGCCUUCGGGUUGUAAAGCACUUUCAGUGGGGAAGAAAGCCUUGGGGCUAAUACCCUCGAGGAAGGACAUCACCCACAGAAGAAGCACCGGCUAACUCCGUGCCAGCAGCCGCGGUAAUACGGAGGGUGCGAGCGUUAAUCGGAAUUACUGGGCAUAAAGCGCGCGUAGGCGGUCUGAUAAGCCGGUUGUGAAAGCCCCGGGCUCAACCUGGGAACGGCAUCCGGAACUGUCAGGCUAGAGUGCAGGAGAGGAAGGUAGAAUUCCCGGUGUAGCGGUGAAAUGCGUAGAGAUCGGGAGGAAUACCAGUGGCGAAGGCGGCCUUCUGGACUGACACUGACGCUGAGGUGCGAAAGCGUGGGUAGCAAACAGGAUUAGAUACCCCAGUAGUC